AGUGAACGCUGGCGGUAGGCCUAACACAUGCAAGUCGAACGGCAGCACAGUAAGAGCUUGCUCUUACGGGUGGCGAGUGGCGGACGAGUGAGGAAUACAUCGGAAUCUACUUUUUCGUGGGGGAUAACGUAGGGAAACUUACGCUAAUACCGCAUACGACCUACGGGUGAAAGCAGGGGAUCUUCGGACCUUGCGCGAUUGAAUGAGCCGAUGUCGGAUUAGCUAGUUGGCGGGGUAAAGGCCCACCAAGGCGACGAUCCGUAGCUGGUCUGAGAGGAUGAUCAGCCACACUGGAACUGAGACACGGCCCAGACUCCGACGGGAGGCAGCAGUGGGGAAUAUUGGACAAUGGGCGCAAGCCUGAUCCAGCCAUACCGCGUGGGUGAAGAAGGCCUUCGGGUUGUAAAGCCCUUUUGUUGGGAAAGAAAAGCAGCAGGUUAAUACCCCGCUGUUCUGACGGUACCCAAAGAAUAAGCACCGGCUAACUUCGUG
rnacentral:rRNA from 1 species